GAUGAAGAACGUAGCGAAAUGUGAUAAGUAGUGUGAAUUGCAGAAUUCAGUGAAUCAUCGAAUCUUUGAACGCACAUUGCGCCCCUUGGUAUUCCAUGGGGCAUGCCUGUUCGAGCGUCAUUUGUACCUUCAAGCUCUGCUUGGUGUUGGGUGUUUGUCUCGCCUCUGCGUGUAGACUCGCCUCAAAAUAAUUGGCAGCCGGCGUAUUGAUUUCGGAGCGCAGUACAUCUCGCGCUUUGCACUCAUAACGACGACGUCCAAAAGUACAUUUUUACACUCUUGACCUCGGAUCAGGUAGGGAUACCCGCUGAACUUAAGCAUAUCAAUAAGCGGAGGA
rnacentral:misc_RNA from 1 species